CUCUCAUCUGAAAACGCGAAUCGCAACUCAGCGGACACGUGGCACCUUCUCAUAAGCUCAGUGCUUAUAUUCCUCUUUCGUCUUUCCAACUUCAAACUUCGAAUUCUAACCCCAUUCCAAACCUUUCCCUCAGCAAUGGAAUCCACCAAACUCCCGCGUCAAUCUUCAUUUCUUUAGACAGAGAGAGAAAGAGCGUGCGGUGUCGGAAUCAUGUUCUCCGAUUGCACCGAUGGUUCGGUUUAUGGUCGUCGGAGAAUCGCCGAUCUCGUUGAGAGUUUCGAAUCGCACCGGUGACCGGAGAAGAUGGUGAAUUCCAUGGUGGAACGUGCCACGAGCGACAUGCUCAUAGGGCCUGAUUGGGCCAUGAACAUCGAGAUCUGCGACAUGCUCAAUCAUGACCCUUGCUGAAAAUGCAUAGUCCGUCUCAGAGACUCAUAGGAGCCGAACAAAUCGUCGCUCAGAGAGGAAAAUUGUGUGUCGUUUCGCCUUCUUCUGGGAUCUCCGUCGUCGAUGUGGCGACAGUGCCGCCGCGGAUUUUGCCGAUUUGGCUGCCGGAAGAGUUCGAGCCAGUGGUCGUUCACAUCUUAAACAUCUUUGCUCUAUUUUGAAUAGCAUUUAGAUAAGGAGAUAUGAAAAUAAAUCUUCGCAAGUUUGCAUGAUUUACUCCCUUCUAUCUAUUCGAUGAAAUGUCCCUGUGUUUCACUUUUAUCUCGUUGUUAUGUUUUUUUAUUUCUCCGCCAUCUUUUUUCAUUCCUAUGUUUUUGCUCUUAUUUGUGUGUGUGUAUUUUGAUUGAUCGGUGGGUGUGUAUUUUUGCAGGGGUGAUAUCUGGAGCUCUUUUGUAUAUAAGGGAUGAAUUCCUAGCUGUAGAUAGAAAGACUUGGCUUCACGUUACAAGUCUCGUAUCUCUGUUUUUUUUCUAGAUAUUGAUCACAUGCAUGUUUCUGUUAAAUAUUUUAAUUGUUAUGAAAUCAUAUGGAUAUUAGUUUCGGUUUUAUUUUAUUUGAUCGAAUUUGAUGAACCUGCAGGUUGUAGCCUCUGUGUACGUAAAUAACAUUCACAUAACAAUUUUGCCUAUUUUUUUUAUCACUUUGUAGUCUGUAGUUAUUGGUUAAUGUUCAUAUAUAUUGAUUCCCUGGUCACUCAUUUAUAUGAUCCUUCUACCUUGAGAAAAAUAAAGAAUCUUUUGUUUAAACUAGUGCUAGAUGGACUGAGGUGAUUCAUUUUAACGAUAUAUAUGUGAAUUCUUAUACUUAUCUAUGUAGUAUUCUUUUGAUUAUCUUUUACUCAUAUAAUACUUCCAAGAAUUCCAUCAAAGCUAAAUCUUUCAAGGUAAUUUAAGGUAUUUAAAUCUGUGAUUGCAGUUCAUUGGAAUUUUUCAAGAAACAAUUGUGCAAGAACUGGUUGGGGAGCUGAAUUGAACGGGUACUUCCAGUUGGAACUUCCUUGACUGUUGUUGGUGAGCUCAGAUGAACAUUCAUGGAAGAAAUCCAGAGAUUUGCUUGAGAAGGUUGGUAGACAAGGAGAUCUAACUGGUUAUAGAGUUUCUUGUCUCCUUAUUGGCGCAAAGGAUGAUUUAACUCCAUAUCCAAGGGCAGUACAAGAUUCAGUUAAGGUAAAAUAAGCAUGAUUCAAUGCCACAAUACUGAAUUUUGUACACGACUGUGGAAUGGGGAAACCCCUGAAGUUGUACCGUCACAUGCAAAGGAGUUCCAUACACUAUCUAUUGGAAAAAUGAGAGUGCUUUUUACAGGAAAUUCUAGUGCUUGGGAAGCCAACAAAUUUUACCAGUGAUAGUGUGGGAACCCGCAAUAUAAAUAUAGCAGUCAGGCACAUAUGAUGGAACUCAAAUGCUGGUGAAAGCAUAAGAAAUUAUGUAGGAGUUUGUCGGAUAACUUUUAUCUUAAAGAUCCUCAACCUCAAACAGGGCUCAGUAAAUUCAGCACUGCUGCUGCCAUUGAAGAACCAAUUAAACCACUAGUUAAAGUAGAACACACCCAACUCUUAUUUGAUGGAAAAUUUGUUGAUGCUGCUACUAGUUAGUCCUUUUUUUUCCUCCCUUCAUACUUUUAAAUUGCUUAUAAGUUCAAGAAUUCUCAAUUUUAUAGUAAUGUAAAUUUAGAGAAAAUUUGUAGACUCUCA